rnacentral:tRNA from 1 species
GGAGAUGUCGCCUAGAUGGUCGAGGGCGCACGACUGGAAAUCGUGUAGGGGUCAGAAGCCUCUCACGAGUUCGAAUCUCUUCAUCUCCGCCA